AGUGAACGCUGGCGGCGGGCCUAAUACAUGCAAGUCGAACGAACAGACGGUAAGCGUUUGCCUCUGCCGUUGGCGGGUGACGGGCGGGUAACGCGUAGAUAGCCUACUUCUAAUUCGUGGGGGACUUCGUGAAACCGGUUCUAAUACCGCAGAAUAUGUUGUACGGGAGAAUUCAAUGGUUAAUGGCGGCUUUCGUGUCACUUAGAGACGAAGCCGCGUCGGAUUAGCUGGUUGGUAAGGUAACGGCUUACCAAGGCAACGAUGCGUAGCUGAUCUGAGAGGGUGAUCAGCCACACUGGAACUGAGACACGGUCCAGACUCCUACGGGAGGCAGCAGUAGGGAAUAUUCGGCAAUGGGCGAAAGCUUGAUGCAGCCACACCGCGUGAGUGAUGAAGGUCUUCGGAUCGUAAAGCUCUGUUAUUGGGAAAGAAAAACUGUGGAUGAAACCCCCGCUGUCUUGACGGUACCCAAUCAGAAAGCAACGGCUAACUUCGUG
rnacentral:rRNA from 1 species